rnacentral:rRNA from 1 species
GACGAACCACCCGACCGUUAUUCGGAAUUACUGGGCUUAAAGGGUGCGUAGGCGGCGCAGCAAGUUGGGUGUGAAAUCCCUCGGCUCAACCGAGGAACUGCGCCCAAAACUACUGUGCUUGAGGAAGAUAGAGGUAAGCGGAACUUACGGUGGAGCGGUGAAAUGCGUUGAUAUCGUAAGGAACACCUGUGGCGAAAGCGGCUUACUGGGUCGUUGCUGACGCUGAUGCACGAAAGCCAGGGGAGCAAACGGG